GCCGCCCUCCUCCUCCUCCGAGUCGGAGUCCUCGCCGUGGAUGAGGCGCACCAGGCCGAAGCGCACCGAGCCGCGGUAGCGGCCCGACACCAGCUGCCAGACAGCACAACCGGACCAGACUGGGCAGAGGAGCAGCUCCAGGUCCCCGUCCCACGCCGCCUCCGGGGCUAACAGCAAACAAAUACCCCCCUCCGUGACUCCCGUGCUGCUGAGAAGUUGGCCCUGCCGAUGGCACAUCUCGCCGCGGUCCCGUAGCUGCUCUCCUGUUGCCUAAUCCCACUUCUGCACAGCGUGCCGCUAAGCCACGGAGAGGGGCUGCCCCGGGCACCCGCAGCACGUCCCCGCAGAGAGCCCUCCGCGCCGGAUCCAGCAGCGCCCUCGGAACCGGCUGCAGGUGCUCAGGACCACCCAGGAUCAAACCAUGCUUGUGUUUUCUCAGUUUACGGAGAUGGCCUGCUUGCCUGCUCUGG